rnacentral:rRNA from 1 species
GGGGGAUAUUGGACAAUGGGCGAAAGCCUGAUCCAGCCAUGCCGCGUGAGUGAUGAAGGCCCUAGGGUUGUAAAGCUCUUUCGACGGGGACGAUAAUGACGGUACCCGUAUAAGAAGCCCCGGCUAACUUCGUGCCAGCAGCCGCGGUAAUACGAAGGGGGCUAGCGUUGCUCGGAAUCACUGGGCGUAAAGCACGCGUAGGCGGAUCGUUAAGUCAGGGGUGAAAUCCUAAGGCUCAACCUCAGAAUUGCCCUUGAUACUGGCGGUCUUGAGACCGGAAGAGGUAAGUGGAAUUGCGAGUGUAGAGGUGAAAUUCGUAGAUAUUCGCAAGAACACCAGUGGCGAAGGCGACUUACUGGUCCGGUUCUGACGCUGAGGCGUGAAAGCGUGGGGAGCAAAC